GCCAUGGCAUCACAAGGGCCACCCAGAACUGGCUCAACUCCCAUCAAGCCAAAGGCGACGACGCAUUCGUAUGUCAAUCCAUAUCAACUUUCGAUGCCAUUGACUGCACCUACCAUGGUGACCACGGGUAACAGGGAAUCAGGGUUCGAUUCCGUACAGGGACCCUGACAAAUGGCUACCACAUGCAAGGAAGGCAGCAGGCG